AUUUGUUCGCUUUGGUAGCAUAUAUAUUAAAAAACUGAAAUAAUACAGAGAAGGUUAGCAUGGCCCCUGCCCAAGGAUGACACACAAAUUUGUGAAGCCUUCCAUAUUUUU
ensembl:snRNA U6 U6 spliceosomal RNA